rnacentral:lncRNA from 1 species
GCAGAGGAGUCUGCUUUCUGCUGAUCUCCAGGAAGCUGCAUUAGCCUCUCUGAACCUGUCUCUGCUUUCCCCAAGCUUUGCUGAGAUCCAGGUUGGUUAGUUCCAGCACAGAGCACUGCUCUUGAAGUAACAGGAUGUUGACAUGGGUCCUACCUGUCAGGGUGAAGGAGCAUGGGCUGUGGGAAGUGAGGACAGUGAGAAGUGGUGGUUGUUAUUUUUCUGGUUUCUGUGGAAGAACAGGUGAAGUAUUUCACUGCCUCUGUUUGGAGUUGUCAUAUUGAAAGUCUCCUUUCAGAACUUGGACAAGGUGAGGGUCACGGAAGAGAAAUUCACUGGGCUUUCAGAAAGCAUAAGAGAUGAAGAAUAUUUUAAGAAUCCUAUGGAACAUGAUGGGGACAAUUACAACAGAAAACACUUUAGUGAUGAGGAGAAACUACACAAACUGAUACUGGAUCCAUUGCCUUUGACAGCAAAUAUGGGUUGGUGGACACAAACCUGUAUUCAGUUCCUCAUACUGGAGGAAGAUAAAGAAUCAGGAGGAAAUGCCAGUGAAGAGGCAAAAUGGAGGAAGGGGAACAAUGAAGAUUCCAGUUCUUCUAUUACUGUACUUCAUGUUUUACAUAAAAACAGGUGGAAGAAUAAUUUUCCCCUUUAACCUGCUGUGUGGCUUUCUGUGAGAUUCAUCAGUGCACAAGAGGAUGGUGAGGAAGAAAGCAGGAGGAAAAUCUGCUUGAAGAGUUGCCUUCCUAAAUUAAGUGGGAUAAAGAGGUGACCUGAAUUUGUUUGCUUGUUUUUAAAUAAAGAACUCAUGAAAUCUUAAAAAGAAGCUUUU